UACGUAGGCAGCGAGCGUUGUUCGGAGUUACUGGGCGUAAAGGGUGCGUAGGCGGGUCUUUUAAGUCAGGGGUGAAAUCCUGGAGCUCAACUCCAGAACUGCCUUUGAUACUGAAGAUCUUGAGUUCGGGAGAGGUGAGUGGAACUGCGAGUGUAGAGGUGAAAUUCGUAGAUAUUCGGAAGAACACCAGUGGCGAAGGCGGCUCACUGGUCCGGUACUGACGCUGAGGUGCGAAAGCGUGGGGAGCAAACAGG
rnacentral:rRNA from 1 species